rnacentral:lncRNA from 1 species
GCCGUGAGGCGUCCGGCGGGGCGGGACCGGCCACACCCCACCGGGACCAUCCCACCGGGACAGGCCACACCCCACCGGGACCAGGACUGGGACCAUCCUACCGUAACAAGGGGCCAUCCCACCGGGACCGGGACCAUCCCACCGGGACCGUCCACACCCCACCGGGACCGGGACCAUCCCACCGGGACAGGCCACACCCCACCGGGACCAGGACCGGGACCAUCCCACCGGGACCGUCCACACCCCACCGGGACCGGGACCAUCCCACCGGGACAGGCCACACCCCACCGGGACCAGGACCGGGACCAUCCCACCGGGACCGUCCACACCCCACCGGGACCGGGACCGGGACCGGGACCGGGACCGGGACCACCCCACCGGGACAGGCCACACCCCACCGGGACCGGGACCAGGACCAGGACCGGGACCGGGACCAUCCUACCGGGACCGGCCACACCCCACCGGGACCGGGACCAUCCCACCGUAACAAGGGGCCAUCCCACCGGGACCGGGACCAUCCCACCGGGACCGGCCACACCCCACCGGGACCGGGAUCAUCCCACCGGGACAGGGAUCAUCCCACCGGGACAAGGGGUCAUUCCACCGGGACCAGGACCAUCCUACCGGGACCGGCCACACUCCACCGGGACCGGCCACACUCCACCGGGACCGGGACCAUCCCACCGGGACCGGGAGCAUCCCAGAAGGAACAUCCCACCGGCAACACCUCACUGGGACAGGGCCGGCCCCGCAGCCGCGGGUCUGCUGCUGUCGCCCUCCUUUUCCCCGCCCCGGUUCUGUGCUCGCCCUCCUGCUGCAGCCCGGAUGCCCCCGGUGCCGCCCCGAGCCCCCGGUACCGGAGCAGAGACCAGCCCAGCACAAAGGCGUUUAUUGAGCAAGCGCCCUCUGUGUCUCCCUGUGGGGCAGGAUGAUCGAAGCCACGGCCGGCAGAGCUCACCAAGAACAGGCAGCAAAUCGCCGGUGCGGGGAGGUGACGGACUGAGCCCAGAGCUGAGCCGGGCUGGAUCCACACACAGCGGCCCACGGAGCCAGACUGCUCUGGGCAGCCUUCCCCCGGGCUGA